GAAGGUAUUUGCCUAUUGAAAUGCAACUGGCGUAGAAGUUAGCGGUUGCAUUGGUUUUGUGGCAGGUUCAAGGCAAACAGAUUAGGUUUUCUUUGAGCUACCGCGCAUGUAUUUUCGACCUCGUCACAGUUUGGAUAUCGGCCACCGGUACCUGCACAAGCGUUGAUUAAGCACAGUUUCCUGGUGGAAAACGUACGAGCAAGGGGACACGCCCUGAAGCAGAGCGGACCAGAAGCUUGGCACCCUAACAAACGCUAGUGAGCCGAAGCAGGCCUUAAAGGUAGCUGCAGAUAUCACAAAACAGGAUCUGGGACUUCACCAAUACGACGCAAUUAUGGCACAAAGGAAGGUUCCGGUACGUGACGUUUUGGAGAUACACAAGGGCGACCAUCUUGCGAACAAAUACCGAUAUUUCGGCUAUAGCCAUCACAUGACUGUGAGUGAAGAACCAAAUAGUCUUGAUAAAGUAACAGUGGUUGAGUAUACUAACGAUGUAAGUAAUGGUGCAACUGGGGUAACUGCAUGUAGUGGCAAGUCAGGGAGUUCUCUGGCUACAGUUCAGGAAGGUUUUGUGAAUCUGGCAAAAGAUGUUGCUGCCGGUUCAGUGUACCGUGUUCUUGACACUGGCACCGGCGGGUCUUUUUCUGCUGACGAAAGAGUCGAGAGAGUUAGAAGCUGGAAG